rnacentral:rRNA from 1 species
GACGAACGCUGGCGGCGUGCUUAACACAUGCAAGUCGAACGGAAAGGCCCUGCUUUUGUGGGGUGCUCGAGUGGCGAACGGGUGAGUAACACGUGAGUAACCUGCCCUUGACUUUGGGAUAACUUCAGGAAACUGGGGCUAAUACCGGAUAGGAGCUCCUGCUGCAUGGUGGGGGUGGGAAAGUUUCGGCGGUUGGGGAUGGACUCGCGGCUUAUCAGCUUGUUGGUGGGGUAGUGGCUUACCAAGGCUUUGCCGGGUAGCCGGCCUGAGAGGGUGACCGGCCACAUUGGGACUGAGAUACGGCCCAGACUCCAACGGGAGGCAGCAGUGGGGAAGAUUACACAAUGGGCGGAGGCCUGAUGCAGCAACGCCGCGUGCGGGAUGACAGCCUGCGGGUUGGGAACCACUUUCGCCUGUGACGAAGCGUGAGUGACGGUAAUGGAUAAAGAAGCACCGGCUAACUACGUG